rnacentral:rRNA from 3 species
AAAUUGAAGAGUUUGAUCAUGGCUCAGAUUGAACGCUGGCGGCAGGCCUAACACAUGCAAGUCGAACGGUAACAGGAAGAAGCUUGCUUCUUUGCUGACGAGUGGCGGACGGGUGAGUAAUGUCUGGGAAACUGCCUGAUGGAGGGGGAUAACUACUGGAAACGGUAGCUAAUACCGCAUAACGUCGCAAGACCAAAGAGGGGGACCUUCGGGCCUCUUGCCAUCGGAUGUGCCCAGAUGGGAUUAGCUUGUUGGUGGGGUAACGGCUCACCAAGGCGACGAUCCCUAGCUGGUCUGAGAGGAUGACCAGCCACACUGGAACUGAGACACGGUCCAGACUCCUACGGGAGGCAGCAGUGGGGAAUAUUGCACAAUGGGCGCAAGCCUGAUGCAGCCAUGCCGCGUGUAUGAAGAAGGCCUUCGGGUUGUAAAGUACUUUCAGCGGGGAGGAAGGGAGUAAAGUUAAUACCUUUGCUCAUUGACGUUACCCGCAGAAGAAGCACCGGCUAACUCCGUGCCAGCAGCCGCGGUAAUACGGAGGGUGCAAGCGUUAAUCGGAAUUACUGGGCGUAAAGCGCACGCAGGCGGUUUGUUAAGUCAGAUGUGAAAUCCCCGGGCUCAACCUGGGAACUGCAUCUGAUACUGGCAAGCUUGAGUCUCGUAGAGGGGGGUAGAAUUCCAGGUGUAGCGGUGAAAUGCGUAGAGAUCUGGAGGAAUACCGGUGGCGAAGGCGGCCCCCUGGACGAAGACUGACGCUCAGGUGCGAAAGCGUGGGGAGCAAACAGGAUUAGAUACCCUGGUAGUCCACGCCGUAAACGAUGUCGACUUGGAGGUUGUGCCCUUGAGGCGUGGCUUCCGGAGCUAACGCGUUAAGUCGACCGCCUGGGGAGUACGGCCGCAAGGUUAAAACUCAAAUGAAUUGACGGGGGCCCGCACAAGCGGUGGAGCAUGUGGUUUAAUUCGAUGCAACGCGAAGAACCUUACCUGGUCUUGACAUCCACAGAACCUUGUAGAGAUACGAGGGUGCCUUCGGGAACUGUGAGACAGGUGCUGCAUGGCUGUCGUCAGCUCGUGUUGUGAAAUGUUGGGUUAAGUCCCGCAACGAGCGCAACCCUUAUCCUUUGUUGCCAGCGGUCCGGCCGGGAACUCAAAGGAGACUGCCAGUGAUAAACUGGAGGAAGGUGGGGAUGACGUCAAGUCAUCAUGGCCCUUACGACCAGGGCUACACACGUGCUACAAUGGCGCAUACAAAGAGAAGCGACCUCGCGAGAGCAAGCGGACCUCAUAAAGUGCGUCGUAGUCCGGAUUGGAGUCUGCAACUCGACUCCAUGAAGUCGGAAUCGCUAGUAAUCGUGGAUCAGAAUGCCACGGUGAAUACGUUCCCGGGCCUUGUACACACCGCCCGUCACACCAUGGGAGUGGGUUGCAAAAGAAGUAGGUAGCUUAACCUUCGGGAGGGCGCUUACCACUUUGUGAUUCAUGACUGGGGUGAAGUCGUAACAAGGUAACCGUAGGGGAACCUGCGGUUGGAUCACCUCCUUACCUUAAAGAAGC